GCGGUCGAUGACCGGCAUGGGUUCUAGGAUUUGAUCGGAUUUCGAUUCCGAGGGUCGGAGGUUCGAAUCCUUCCGAGCGCGCCA
rnacentral:tRNA from 1 species